rnacentral:tRNA from 122 species
GCGGAAGUGGCGAAAUUGGUAGACGCACCAGAUUUAGGUUCUGGCGCCGCAAGGUGUGAGAGUUCAAGUCUCUCCUUCCGCACCA